UACAGAGGUCUCAAGCGUUGUUCGGAUUCAUUGGGCGUAAAGGGCUCGUAGGCGGUCUGUUGCGUCGGGAGUGAAAACUUACAGCUUAACUGUGAGCGUGCUUUCGAUACGGGCAGACUUGAGGCAUUCAGGGGAGAACGGAAUUCCUGGUGUAGCGGUGAAAUGCGCAGAUAUCAGGAGGAACACCGGUGGCGAAGGCGGUUCUCUGGACAGGUACUGACGCUGAGACGCGAAAGCGUGGGUAGCAAACAGG
rnacentral:rRNA from 1 species